AUUUCUUUUUUGGCCUUUUGGCUAAGAUCAAGUGUAGUAUCUGUUCUUAUCAGUUUAAUUCUGUCCAUUUUUAAUUUAAUGUCCUUUUUCUGUGGCAGUUUCUGUAACUCUUUUACAAGUCUUUUAUAAUCAUCCUCUAAUACACUGCUCAAAAAUAAAUAAAUAAGGGAACACUU
rnacentral:snRNA from 1 species